rnacentral:rRNA from 1 species
AAUGAACGCUGGCGGCGCGCCUAAUACAUGCAAGUCGAGCGAGAAGACGUAGCAAUACGUUUGUAAAGCGGCGAACGGGUGAGGAAUACAUGGGUAACCUACCCUCGAGUGGGGAAUAACUAGCCGAAGGUUAGCUAAUACCGCGUACGCUCCUUGGACUUCGGUUCAGGGAGGAAAGCGAUACCGUGGGUAUCGCGCUCUUGGUUGGGCUCAUGUCCUAUCAGCUUGUUGGUGAGGUAACGGCUCACCAAGGCUUCGACGGGUAGCUGGUCUGAGAGGACGAUCAGCCACACUGGCACUGCGACACGGGGCCAGACUCCUACGGGAGGCAGCAGUAAGGAAUAUUGCGCAAUGGGCGAAAGCCUGACGCAGCGACGCCGCGUGGGGGAU